GGCCCUGUGGUGUAGUGGUUUGCACACUGGGUGAUAUAUUUGAGAUCUAUGCUAUCUAAAGUAUAUUUGAGAGGUCACAGUUCGAAUCUGUGCAGAGCCA